CCAUAUCCAUAACAUAAGAGAUCAUCCCCCAUUUUUACUAUACACCCCAUAGUUAUCACAAAUUAUUACAACUUAAAUGAAUCCAGAAAAAGUAAAUUACAUCAGAAAUUAGAAUUCCAACCAAGGUGAGCCUAAUUCAGACUCCUAGUCUGACACAUGAAAUAAAUAAACUUCCAAAGAUUAGAUUUCCAAAGCUUUUCACAUGUUUUGGGUAUGUCAAAGUUCCAAGGAGCUUGGCGAACUACAGGCAAUGAUUACACCCAAUUAUAUUACAGAAUUAUAGUGCGGUGUGGAAUGGUCAGCCCUCCAAUGUCCAAGGUCAGAGGGAACUCAUGGUCUCCAAGGCAAGGCUCAUAGGAAGGGGAAGUACUUAGAGUUUAAGAGUAAGCGUAAGUGCAGUAGAGGGGGAAUUAGGGAAGAGCCAUGACAAAUUAGUGGUCAUACCUAGUAAUUGGGAUGCUGGAACACCCAUGCCAGCCUGUAAGCUUAAAUUGGGAGCUAGGACUGAUUGAAGGUCAGGCUCAGACCUGGACAGUAAUUUAGAUACUGCUAGGCCAAAACAGUUAACUCAGAUACAUAGAGGGGAAUAGAGGGAUAGGGAUUCAUAAUAGAAGCAAGAUAUAAGGAAAGAAACACACAUAAUUUAACUACUGAACAUGAAAAGCAAAGUGGGAAAGAGUACUGAAAAUUAAAAUAAACACAUAGGGGUGAGACAAAAAAUUAAAUCAGACAUACCAUUUUCAGGAAAGAUAGGUAAGUAAAACAACAGUCUUGAAAAGACUCAUUGCAAAGCAGUACAAAAGUCUCAGCGGAGAGUAGAAGGUAUUGAAAAAGUAUUGUGAUUGAAAGUGUGUGUAAGAGUUGUAAGGUUUUAUCAAAGCUUAAAUAUUAAAGCCUCUGUUCUCUUAAUGCAGAAGGGUCGAGCCUUUUUCAUAGUGUAGCAAGUAAGCAAGAAAAGGUAAGGAAAUAUCAUUCUGAUCAGUCCCCCUUUAGUUAAGCGAUUCUGAUCUCAAACGGGUAAACCAAUUAUGGAAAGGAAUUUUAAAAAAUAUUUUUCUAGUAAUAUAAUAAAGGGUAAGUACAUAGAAGCUAUUUAAGACAACAAACUAAUAGUACACUGCUUGUAAAGAGAAAAAAGGGAAUCAACUAGUAAAAAUUAAAACUUCAGACUUUUACUCAAAUGAAUCGAGUCAGAAAAAGGGGUAAAGAAGGGUUCAAUUAAGGAAAACCAGUAACAAUCAAGUUAACACAACAAAAUCAAUUAGUAGUUGGCAAAACCUUUUUGAAAGAAGAGUUCUCAUCUAUAAACACUCAAACAAUCAGUAAGAGACUGUCAAGUUAUUUAAAAGAGAAUUUUAAUCGAAGAGAAGUUCAUAAUCAUAAGCAAAGAGAUGCAGGUUCAACCUGCAGACUCACUAGACUCAUAGUGAGUCUGAGAGUCCAGGGUCCCAAUGUGGAACCCUGACUCGAACACAAAAAUCAAAGUCGUCAAAAGAAAACCCCAAAUCCUAGGGUUUCAAAAGUUGAAUCAGACAUGGAGGUGGGAAAGCAAACCAUUUGUUUUUCAGAGUCUCAACAAAACAGACGCGAUAGCAUGCUUGAACAACAAAGGAAGAAAAAUCAUGAAGAACAUAUUCAAGAAACCCAGAAUAUAAAUAAGUUCAGAAGAAAGAGACAGUGCAAACUUGAACAUAGGCAGAUGAAGCAUGUAAGAAAAUAAACAGAUUCAAAAAUCAAAUAACUUUAACGGUAGGCACAUAUAGCAGAAGAGUAGUGAAAACUUAGCAGAAAUUAACAGGAGAAAAGAAAAAGAUAAAUGAAAAUAUAUGCGUAAAAUAAAAGAAAUCAUACAAACAAGGCAUAAGCAGAUACACAUAAAGCAAAGAAGAAAAGAAUCAAAAAGAUUUUUUCAAAAAUCCUUGCGAAACCCCUAAAAAUCGGAAAGAAACGAUUUUGACAAAAACUUUUGGGGAUAACACUUUAGAUGGAAAGAAAAGCAUAGAUGGAGUACAGAUCUAAACAAAUAACGGUGAAAAAACCUCGAAUGGCUUAGGGUUUCAAAGAAACCCUAGAAAAAAGAAAGGUUUGGAGACAUGUCUGAUCCUGAAUCGGAAAGGUCAAGAAUUGGGCUUCUGAAUCUCGAAUGUAUCAGAGCAUGGCCGGAGAAACCAUGGAAUCAAAGAUCGGAGAAUAUCAUAGAGGAAAUUGCCGAUGUCAGGUCACACAACUUCAAACAACCAAGGUCUAAUUGUGGAGAGGAGUGAGUAUAGAUCAUCCAUGGCGGUAGGAGCCAUGGAUUCCGGUGAAAGUGCGGUGAAAAGGGGUUGGAGACGGCUAGGGUUUCGAAGAUCCUUCGAGAGAGUUUGAGGGUGGAGAGCAUUCAAAGGCGGCUGGCU
rnacentral:lncRNA from 1 species